CCUACGGGAGGCAGCAGUGAGGAAUAUUGGUCAAUGGGCGGAAGCCUGAACCAGCCAAGUAGCGUGCAGGAUGACGUCCCUCCGUGUUGUAAACUGCUUUUAUACGGGAAUAACGCGCCUUACGUGUAGGGCUUUGCAUGUACCGUAUGAUUCAGGACCGGCUAAUUCCGUGCCAGCAGCCGCGGUUAUACGGAAGGUCUGGGCGUUAUCCGGAUGUAUUGGGUUUAAAGGGAGCGUAGGCCGCAUGUCAAGCGUGCUGUGAAAUGUCCGGGCUCAACCCGGGCCUUGCAGCGCGAACUGGCGUGCUUGAGUCCGCGGAAAGCAGGCGGAAUUCGUGGUGUAGCGGUGAAAUGCUUAGAUAUGACGAAGAACCCCGAUUGCGAAGGCAGCUUGCUGCAGCGGAACUGACGCUGAUGCUCGAAAGCGCGGGUAUCGAACAGGAUUAGAUACCCUAGUAGU
rnacentral:rRNA from 1 species